ACGCCGCGUGAGCGAUGAAGGUCUUCGGAUCGUAAAGCUCUGUGGGGGGAGAAGAAGAAAGUCGGUGAAGAGCCGGCCCUGACGGUAUCCCCUUAGCAAGCACCGGCUAACUCCGUGCCAGCAGCCGCGGUAAUACGGAGGGUGCAAACGUUGCUCGGAAUCAUUGGGCGUAAAGCGCGCGUAGGCGGCUGAACAAGUUGGAUGUGAAAGCCCUGGGCUCAACCUAGGAUGUGCAUUCAAAACUGUUCGGCUUGAGUCUCGGAGGGGGUCAGAGAAUUCUCGGUGUAGAGGUGAAAUUCGUAGAUAUCGGGAGGAACACCAGUGGCGAAGGCGCUGACCUGGACGAUGACUGACGCUGAGGCGCGAAAGCGUGGGGAGCAAACAGGAUUAGAUACCCUGGUAGUCCACGCCGUAAACGAUGAGUGCUAGACGCUGGCGGAUUGACCCCGUCGGUGUCGAAGCUAACGCGUUAAGCACUCCGCCUGGGGAGUACGGUCGCAAGACUAAAACUCAAAGGAAUUGACGG
rnacentral:rRNA from 1 species